rnacentral:rRNA from 1 species
UUGAAUUUCGGUAUUGUCUGUACAGGAUAGGUGGGAGACUGGGAAAUCAGAGCGUCAGCUUUGAUGGAGUCAUCCUUGGGAUACCACCCUGAUAGUACUGGAAUUCUAACUGGAUGCCAUGAAUCUGGUGACAGGACAUUGUUAGGUGGGCAGUUUGACUGGGGCGGUCGCCUCCUAAAAAGUAACGGAGGCGCCCAAAGGUUCCCUCAGAACGG